AUUAUUAAGUCAGUGGUGAAAAUUCCGGGCUCAACCCGGGACUUGCCGUUGAAACUGAUAAUCUUGAGUGUAACUGAUGUGGGCGGAAUGUGUCAAGUAGCGGUGAAAUGCAUAGAUAUGACACAGAACACCGAUAGCGAAGGCAGCUCACAAAAUUACAACUGACACUGAGGCACGAAAGCGUGGGUAUCAAGCAGGAUUAGAUACCCUGGUAGUCCACGCUGUAAACGAUGAUCACUAGCUGUUUGCGAUACAUUGUAAGUGGUUAAGCGAAAGCGAUAAGUGAUCCACCUGGGGAGUACGUCGGCAACGAUGAAACUCAAAGGAAUUGACGGGGGCCCGCACAAGCGGAGGAGCAUGUGGUUUAAUUCGAUGAUACGCGAGGAACCUUACCUGGGCUUGAACGUAUGGUGCAUGAGUGUGAAAGCACUCUUUCCUUCACAGGACUUCAUACGAGGUGCUGCAUGGUUGUUGUCAGCUCGUGCCGUGAGGUGUUAGGUUAAGUCCUGCAACGAGCGCGACCCCUGUUUUUAGUUGCCAGCAGGUUAUGCUGGGCACUCUAGAAAGACUGCCUGCGCAAGCAGAGAGGAAGGUGGGGAUGACGUCAAAUCAGCACGGCCCUUACGUCCAGGGCUACACACGUGCUACAAUGGUCGGCACAGAGGGUGGCUACCCGGCAACGGGAUGCUAAUCUCCAAAGUCGAUCUUAGUUCGGAUCGAAGUCUGCAACUCGACUUCGUGAAGUUGGAUUCGCUAGUAAUCGUAUAUCAGCCAUGAUACGGUGAAUACGUUCCCGGGCCUUGUACACACCGCCCGUCAAGCCAUGGAAGUUGGGGGUACCUGAAGUCGAUUACCGUAAGGGAUUGCCUAGGGUAAACCGAUAACUGGGGCUAAGUCGUAACAAG
rnacentral:rRNA from 1 species